rnacentral:snRNA from 1 species
GUGCUCACUUUGGCAGCACAUAUACUAAAAUUGGAAUAAUACAGACAAGAUUAGCAUGGCUCCUGCUCAAGGAUGACACACAAAUUCAUGAAGUGUUCUGUAUUUUU